rnacentral:rRNA from 1 species
AAGCUCGUAGUUGAAUUUCGGGGUUAGUAGGUUGGUCAUGCCUCUGGUAUGUACUGAUCUCACUGAUUCCUCCUUCCUGAUGAGCCGUAAUGCCAUUAAUUUGGUGUUGCGGGGAAUUUGGACUGUUACUUUGAAAAAAUUAGAGNGUUUAAAGCAGGCUAACGCUUGAAUACAUUAGCAUGGAAUAAUGAAAUAGGACGUUCGAUCUUAUUUUGUUGGUUUCUAGGAUUGACGUAAUGAUUAAUAGGGAUAGUUGGGGGCAUUAGUAUUCAAUUGUCAGAGGUGAAAUUCUUGGAUUUAUUGAAGACUAACUACUGCGAAAGCAUUUGCCAAGGAUGUUUUCAUUAAUCAAGAACGAAAGUUAGGGGAUCGAAGACGAUCAGAUACCGUCGUAGUCUUAACCAUAAACUAUGCCGACUAGGGAUCGGAUGAUGUUAAUUUUUUAAUGACUCAUUCGGCGCCUUACGGGAAACCAAAGUGUUUGGGUUCCGGGGGGAGUAUGGUCGCAAGGCUGAAACUUAAAGGAAUUGACGGAAGGGCACCACCAGGGGUGGAGCCUGCGGCUUAAUUUGACUCAACACGGGGAAACUCACCAGGUCCAGACAUAGUAAGGAUUGACAGAUUGAGAGCUCUUUCUUGAUUCUAUGGGUG